CUCACAACCAAAGUUCUCUAUUUAUCCACAUAACAGGUAAAAAUAAGGCAAUGACAGUGCAAGCUCCUCCAGGCUGACCUACUGAUGUGCCCAGUCCUAAAAAGAGCCAAUUUUGUGAGUGAAAGGGUCUCUGUGGGCUUUGAGUCCUUUGAGUCC
rnacentral:sRNA from 1 species